GGCGGACGGGUGAGUAACGCGUAAGAACUUGCCCUUUAGACUGGGAUAACAGAGGGAAACUUCUGAUAAUACUGGAUAAGUUAGUAUAUCGCAUGAUAUGCAAAUGAAAGCUACGGCACUAAAGGAGAGCUUUGCGUCCUAUUAGCUAGUUGGUAAGGUAAGAGCUUACCAAGGCGAUGAUAGGUAGCCGGCCUGAGAGGGUGGACGGCCACAAGGGGACUGAGAUACGGCCCUUACUCCUACGGGAGGCAGCAGCU
rnacentral:rRNA from 1 species